AAUCAACGCUGGCGGCGUGCCUCAGACAUGCAAGUCGAACGCGAAAGUCCCCUUCGGGGGGACAAGUAGAGUGGCGCACGGGUGAGUAACACGUAGGUAAUCUACCUUCGGAUGGGGAAUAACAACCGGAAACGGUUGCUAAUACCGCAUAAUGCAGCGGCACCUAAUGGUGACAGUUGUUAAAGCGGGGGAUCGAAAGACCUCGCGUCUGAAGAGGAGCCUGCGGCGGAUUAGCUAGNGGUAAGGUAAUGGCUUACCAAGGCGACGAUCCGUAGCCGGCCUGAGAGGGGCGGUCGGCCACACUGACACUGACAUACGGGUCAGACUCCUACGGGAGGCAGCAGUCGGGAAUUUUGGGCAAUGGGCGAAAGCCUGACCCAGCAACGCCGCGUGAAGGAUAGAAA
rnacentral:rRNA from 1 species